rnacentral:rRNA from 1 species
GGUGGUCGGUCUUCGGACGCUGACGAGUGGCGACGGGUGAGUAAUACAUCGGAACGUGCCCAGUCGUGGGGGAUAACUACUCGAAAGAGUAGCUAAUACCGCAUACGAUCUGAGGAUGAAAGCGGGGGACCUUCGGGCCUCGCGCGAUUGGAGCGGCCGAUGGCAGAUUAGGUAGUUGGUGGGAUAAAAGCUUACCAAGCCGACGAUCUGUAGCUGGUCUGAGAGGACGACCAGCCACACUGGGACUGAGACACGGCCCAGACUCCUACGGGAGGCAGCAGUGGGGAAUUUUGGACAAUGGGCGAAAGCCUGAUCCAGCAAUGCCGCGUGCAGGAUGAAGGCCUACGGGUUGUAAACUGCUUUUGUACGGAACGAAAAAGCUUCUCCUAAUACGAGAGGCCCAUGACGGUACCGUAAGAAUAAGCACCGGCUAACUACGUGCCAGCAGCCGCGGUAAUACGUAGGGUGCGAGCGUUAAUCGGAAUUACUGGGCGUAAAGCGUGCGCAGGCGGUUAUGUAAGACAGAUGUGAAAUCCCCGGGCUCAACCUGGGAACUGCAUUUGUGACUGCAUGGCUAGAGUACGGUAGAGGGGGAUGGAAUUCCGCGUGUAGCAGUGAAAUGCGUAGAUAUGCGGAGGAACACCGAUGGC